rnacentral:rRNA from 1 species
UACGUAGGGUGCGAGCGUUAAUCGGAAUGACUGGGCGUAAAGGGUGCGUAGGCGGUUUGCUAAGACGGAUGUGAAAUCCCUGGGCUCAACCUAGGAACAGCAUACGUGACUGGCAGGCUAGAGUAUCGAAGAGGGGGGUAGAAUUCCACGUGUAGCAGUGAAAUGCGUAGAGAUCGGGAGGAACACCAGAGGCGAAGGCGGCGACCUGGACAGGUACUGACACUCAACUACGAAAGCGUGGGGAGCAAACAGG